rnacentral:rRNA from 1 species
UACGAAGGGGGCUAGCGUUGCUCGGAAUUACUGGGCGUAAAGGGAGCGUAGGCGGAUAGUUUAGUCAGAGGUGAAAGCCCAGGGCUCAACCUUGGAAUUGCCUUUGAUACUGGCUAUCUUGAGUAUGGGAGAGGUGUGUGGAACUCCGAGUGUAGAGGUGAAAUUCGUAGAUAUUCGGAAGAACACCAGUGGCGAAGGCGACACACUGGCCCGAUACUGACGCUGAGGCACGAAAGCGUGGGGAGCAAACAGG